rnacentral:rRNA from 1 species
UACGUAGGGACCGAGCGUUGUCCGGAAUCAUUGGGCGUAAAGAGCGUGUAGGCGGCUUGUUAAGUCUUGCGUGAAAUCUCGGGGCUCAACCCCGAGCGGUCGUGAGAAACUGGCAGGCUAGAGUGCGGGAGAGGAGAGUGGAAUUCCUGGUGUAGCGGUGAAAUGCGCAGAUAUCAGGAGGAACACCGGUGGCGAAGGCGGGUCUCUGGAACGCAACUGACGCUGAGACGCGAAAAGCGUGGGGAGCAAACAGG